rnacentral:lncRNA from 1 species
UGCUGCCCCUGGAGCCUGAGGGGGAGCCUGGAUCGCCGGUCUGGGCCUCUUAUUUUGUUGGACAUGCGUAGUAGGUGUUGGUCUGCAGGAUGGAACUGAGGGUCUGUGACUCCCUAAUGACUGGGAAAGGGUGUUGAAACUCCUCUCCACGAUCUGCGCCUUUUCCAGAAUAGCUGAAUAUGUCUUGAGCUCUAGUACCAACAAGUGUCGCUUGAUCUCUGGGCGGAGGCCCUACUAGAACCUCCUGGUCUUUCUACCCCCCCAUCCAUCAAUGUCUCAGGGGAGUAUCGGCCCAGCUCUAGGAACUUACGAGCAUACUCCGACACUGUCAUGUUUUCUUGGACCAAUUAAACAAACUCUGUCUUCUUUAAAUGUCAGAUGUGCUCGGGGAGGUACUCAGCAUGAAAGGCUGCUAGGAACUUCUCCCAAGUGACAGGCGUGGGCAGGGUGGUCUGCUUGAGCUCCCACCAACGAUCUGCUUCCCCACCAGCAUGUAGGAAGCAAGAGUAACCCUCUGCUCAGGAACCACUCCUAAGGUCUUGAAAGCCUUCUCUGUCUUCGCCAACCAGUACUGGGCAUCUUCGAAAGAGGACUCCCUGUAAAAGUGGAAGGGUUUAGUCUCCUGUACCU